rnacentral:rRNA from 1 species
UACGUAGGGUGCAAGCGUUGUCCGGAAUUAUUGGGCGUAAAGAGCUCGUAGGCGGUUUGUCACGUCUGCUGUGAAAACUGGAGGCUCAACCUCCAGCUUGCAGUGGGUACGGGCAGACUAGAGUGCGGUAGGGGAGAUUGGAAUUCCUGGUGUAGCGGUGAAAUGCGCAGAUAUCGGGAAGAACACCCGUGGCGAAGGCGGCUCUCUGGGACGGUACUGACGCUGAGACGCGAAAGCGUGGGGAGCGAACAGG